UGAUCGGCCGAUAUCCGAUUAGCUAGUGUCGGUAGACUACAGGCACGAUCGUAGCUGUUUGAGAGACGACCAGCACACUGGACUGAGACCGCCAGAUCUACGGAGGCAGCAGUGGGAUUGACAAUGGGAAUCUGAUCAGGCAUCCGCGUGUAUGAUGAAGGCCUUCGGGUUGUAAAGUACUUUGCAGAGAAGAAAAGGCCGCCCUCUAUACAGGGCGCUGCUGACGGUAUCUGCAGAAUAAGCACCGCUAACUACGUGCCAGCAGCCGCGGUAAUACGUAGGGUGCAAGCGUUAAUCGGAAUUACUGGGCGUAAAGCGUGUGUAGGCGGGUUCGGAAAGAAAGAUGUGAAAUCCCAGGGCUCAACCUUGGAACUGCAUUUUUAACUGCCGAGCUAGAGUAUGUCAGAGGGGGGUAGAAUUCCACGUGUAGCAGUGAAAUGCGUAGAGAUGUGGAGGAAUACCGAUGGCGAAGGCAGCCCCCUGGGAUAAUACUGACGCUCAGACACGAAAGCGUGGGGAGCAAACAGGAUUAGAUACCCUGGUAGUCCACGCCCUAAACGAUGUCAACUAGCUGUUGGGGCCGUUAGGCUUCAGUAGCGCAGCUAACGCGUGAAGUUGACCGCCUGGGGAGUACGGUCGCAAGAUUAAAACUCAAAGGAAUUGACGGGGACCCGCACAAGCGGUGGAUGAUGUGGAUUAAUUCGAUGCAACGCGAAAAACCUUACCUACCCUUGACAUGUCUGGAAAGCCGAAGAGAUUUGGCCGUGCUCGCAAGAGAACCGGAACACAGGUGCUGCAUGGCUGUCGUCAGCUCGUGUCGUGAGAUGUUGGGUUAAGUCCCGCAACGAGCGCAACCCUUGUCAUUAGUUGCUACGCAAGAGCACUCUAAUGAGACUGCCGGUGACAAACCGGAGGAAGGUGGGGAUGACGUCAAGUCCUCAUGGCCCUUAUGGGUAGGGCUUCACACGUCAUACAAUGGUCGGGACAGAGGGUCGCCAACCCGCGAGGGGGAGCUAAUCUCAGAAACCCGAUCGUAGUCCGGAUCGCAGUCUGCAACUCGACUGCGUGAAGUCGGAAUCGCUAGUAAUCGCGGAUCAGAAUGUCGCGGUGAAUACGUUCCCGGGUCUUGUACACACCGCCCGUCACACCAUGGGAGUGGGUUUCACCAGAAGUAGGUAGCCUAACCGCAAGGAGGGCGCUACCACGGUGAUCAUCUCAUU
rnacentral:rRNA from 1 species